AGUACUGUGAAGGAAAGGUGAAAAGGACCCCGGGAGGGGAGUGAAAGAGAACCUGAAACCUUGUGCUUACAAGCACUCAAAGCACGUUAAAGUGUGAUGAGGUACUUUUUGUAGAACGGUCCGGCGAGUUAUAGUAACGAGCAAGGUUAAGCAAUUCAGUUGCGAAGCCGCAGCGAGAGCGAGUCUGAAUAGGGCGCAUGAAGUUCGUUGCCAUAGACCCGAAACCGGGUGACCUACGCAUGAGCAGGUUGAAGUGGGGGUGAAACCCCAUGGAGGACCGAACCGACCCCCGUUGCAAUGGUGGCGGAUGACUUGUGGAUAGCGGAGAAAUUCCAAUCGAACUCGGAGAUAGCUGGUUCUCCCCGAAAUAGCUUUAGGGCUAGCGUUAGUUUAGAUUACCGGAGGUAAAGCACUGAAUGGGCUAGGGGCCGAUAAGGUUACUGAACCCUAUCAAACUCUGAAUGCCGGAUAAUUGAUGGAUAGCAGUCAGACAGUGUGAGAUAAGUUUCAUUGUCAAAAGGGAAACAGCCCAGACCUACAGCUAAGGUCCCAAAUGUAUGCUAAGUGGAAAACGAUGUGGAAUUGCGAAAACAACCAGGAUGUUGGCUCAGAAGCAGCCACACAUUAAAAGAGUGCGUAAUAGCUCACUGGUCGAGAGGUCCUGCGCCGAAAAUGUCCGGGGCUGAAACACGACACCGAAGCUCGGGAAUCAGAAAUGAUUGGUAGAGGAGCAUUGAAGACGGAACGAAGCCAUACCGAAAGGAGUGGUGGACUGUCUUGAAGAGAGAAUGCCGGAAUGAGUAGCGAGAUUGAAGUGAGAAUCUUCAAGGCCGAAUAUCUAAGGUUUCCAGGGUAAAGCUGAUCUGCCCUGGGUAAGUCGGGGCCUAAGGCGAGGUCGAAAGACGUAGCCGAUGGACAACAGGUUGAAAUUCCUGUACUGCGAUAUAUCAGAAAUGUGGGGACACAGAAGGAAAGUGUGAGCCGGGAAAGGAAAGACCGGUGCAAGCACAGGAGGAGGGAUACAGGCAAAUCCGUAUCCCAAUCCAAUGGUGUUACGCGGAGCGAACAAAAGUAGCGAAGCACACAGACCAUCUGUCGAGAAAAGCCGCUAUUGUGUAUACCGUACCCGUACCGUAAACCGACACAGGUGGAUGAGGAGAGAAUCCUAAGGCCGGCGGGAGAAGCAUUGUUAAGGAACUCGGCAAAAUGACCCCGUAACUUCGGGAGAAGGGGUGCCUGCGAGAGCAGGCCGCAGAGAAUAGGCUCAAGCAACUGUUUAGCAAAAACACAGGUCUAUGCGAAACCGAAAGGUGAGGUAUAUGGGCUGACGCCUGCCCGGUGCUGGAAGGUUAAGAGGAGAGGUUAGCGCAAGCGAAGCUUUGAAUUUAAGCCCCAGUAAACGGCGGCCGUAACUAUAACGGUCCUAAGGUAGCGAAAUUCCUUGUCAGGUAAGUUCUGACCCGCACGAAAGGCGUAAUGAUUUGUGCACUGUCUCGACAACACGCCCGGUGAAAUUGAAGAACCAGUGAAGAUACUGGUUACCCGCAACAGGACGGAAAGACCCCAUGGAGCUUUACUGCAGCCUGAUACUGGGAUUCGAUGAUAUAUGUACAGGAUAGGUGGGAGGCUAAGAAGCGAGAACGCUAGUUUUCGUGGAGCCGCCGGUGGGAUACCACUCUUAUGUCAUUGAAUUUCUAACCUGCAUCCGUAAUCCGGGUGAGGGACAAUGUCAGGCGGGCAGUUUGACUGGGGCGGUCGCCUCCUAAAAGGUAACGGAGGCGCUCGAAGGUCACCUCAGAAUGAUUGGAAACCAUUCAAAGAGUGUAAAGGCAAAAGGUGGCUUGACUGCGAGAGCGACGGCUCGAGCAGGUACGAAAGUAGGACUUAGUGAUCCGGUGGUAAUAAGUGGGAAUGCCAUCGCUCAACGGAUAAAAGCUACCCUGGGGAUAACAGGCUUAUCUCCCCCAAGAGUUCACAUCGACGGGGAGGUUUGGCACCUCGAUGUCGGCUCAUCGCAUCCUGGGGCUGAAGUAGGUCCCAAGGGUUGGGCUGUUCGCCCAUUAAAGCGGUACGCGAGCUGGGUUCAGAACGUCGUGAGACAGUUCGGUCCCUAUCCGUUGUGGGCGCAGGAAAUUUGAGAGGAGCUGUCCUUAGUACGAGAGGACCGGGAUGGACGUACCUCUGGUGUACCGGUUGCAGACCAACUGCACAGCCGGGUAGCUAUGUAUGGAACGGAUAAACGCUGAAGGCAUCUAAGCGUGAAGCCGCCCUCAAGAUAAGAUUUCCCAUUCUUCGGAAGUAAGAUCCCUUAAAGAUAAUGAGGUUGAUAGGUUGGAGGUGUAAGCAUGGUAACAUGUUCAGCUGACCAAUACUAAUAGAUCGAGGGCUUGACCAA
rnacentral:rRNA from 1 species